rnacentral:rRNA from 1 species
CAAUAGCGUAUGUCAAAGUUGUUGCGGUUAAAAAGCUCGUAGUUGGAUCUCGGUGUCGGGCUGGUGGUGCGCCCGUAGUGGCGAUCUACUGCCAGUUCCCCGGCGAAAAGAGGCCGGCAGUUUUUCCCUUGGUGCUCUUGACUGAGUGUCUCGGGUGGCCGGAACGUUUACUGUGAAAAAAUUAGAGUGCUCAAAGCAGGCCUUCGUGCCCGAAUAUUGGUGCAUGGAAUAAUGGAGGACGACCUCGGCUCCACUUUGUUGGUUUACGGUGCUCGAGGUAAUGAUUAAGAGAGACUGCCGGGGGCAUACGUACUGCGGCGCGAGAGGUGAAAUUCUGUGACCGUCGCAGGACGAACGAAAGCGAAGGCAUUUGCCAAGAAUGUUUUCAUUAAUCAAGAACGAAAGUCAGAGGUUCGAAGACGAUCAGAUACCGUCGUAGUUCUGACCGCAAACUAUGCCAACUGACCCUCCGCCGGAGUUGCUUUAUUGACUCGGCGAGGAGCCCCCGGGAAACCAAAGUCUUUGGGUUCCGGGGG